AAAAAAUACUUAGAGAUUUAUUUACGAAAACAUUUUCCAAUAUAUCGACCGGUGCAGAAUGACCGAUGGUCAAACGGAAAAACAAAAUUAAAAAUCGUAAAAACUCGAACACUUAGGGAAAAAAAAAAUUGGUUGUAAUAUUGUUAUUCGCAAAAAUGCUCGCAUCUGUCUCAGGUCGUACAACCAACAUGACGACGAUUUGUUUCCGGAGAACGCGUCGCAAAAACGGAUUCCGUGAUGGAUCUUAUCGUCUCCGCGCGAGCGUGACGUUUGGCACAAUUAACGACUUAACGCAAGCCGUUGUUAUCGCGACCACAUUAAGCCGGGUUUACUCGGGGAGGCUUGAACCGCGGCCGUGGUUUUUGGUAGGCAGGUAAGUAUAGGUAGGUAGGUAGGUAGGUACAUAUAGCUACAUACGCAAUAGAUAUUUCUAAAAUAUUAUUGUACCUACAAUCUAGAUGAUUCGCUAAAUGCAAAAAGUAAACGUUGUUCAAAUAUUUU